rnacentral:lncRNA from 1 species
UGUCCAUAAUGAGUCCGGAUAAAUAUAUGUACAUUUCUACGUCUUAUGUACACGUUGAAAGCUUUUUGUUGACAGUUUUAGGAAGACCGGGCAGUUUUUCUAUGAUUUUGAUUCGUGGCUCAACAUUUAGAACAUAAUUUGGGCCUAUACUGUUGAAAGACUGUGAACUAAUGCCUACCAGCUGAUUUGUCUGGGGUGUCACUGGUUGGAGUGACUUUCAGUCAGUAUUUCUUUCCUACACCUGAGUGUGAUUCACAGUGUUGCCGGAAGUUGCUAAAUUGUCAUUACGGGUGACGUCACAUCGA